rnacentral:rRNA from 1 species
CGAGUGCGUUCAGAGUUUGAUCCUGGCUCAGGACGAACGCUGGCGGCGUGCUUAACACAUGCAAGUCGAGCGGGGUUUAUCGGAUUAGCUUGCUAAACUGAUAAACCUAGCGGCGGACGGGUGAGUAACGCGUGAGCAAUCUGCCUCAUACAGGGGGAUAACAGGUGGAAACACCUGCUAAUACCGCAUAAGACUCCACUACCGCAUGGUAGAGAAGUCAAAGGGAUUACCGGUAUGAGAUGAGCUCGCGUCCCAUUAGCUAGUUGGUAGGGUAAAGGCCUACCAAGGCGACGAUGGGUAGCCGACCUGAGAGGGUGAUCGGCCACACUGGGACUGAGACACGGCCCAG